UUUGAGAAGAGAGACAGCGAACUUUUUCCGCCAGGGGUCGUUUUGUUCCAAAAUGGAGUCGCAUACACAAGCGCGAGAUAGACCGAAGAAAAUUCAAAGAGGAAAACAAGAAAAUCACGAAAAUGAUGCUUCUAGAAAGCGUUUCGAAAGGUCUUCUGAAAGUUUAGAAGAAACUCAAGUAAGACGGAAUGAGGAAAGGAACGCUAGAUUAAAAGCGAUCCGCUCGGCCGCCAUGAAAAUCGAUCCGAAGAAUCUGAGGGUGAGAGGACUGCUAGAUUACAAAGCAUAACCUCUGUCAUCAUAAGCAGGAGAAUAUACGUUGAAAAGCAGCAUCUGUGCGGCUAUGUCAUUGGGAUUGUAAGCAAAAUUCUGCUUUUAUUUAU
rnacentral:lncRNA from 1 species